rnacentral:rRNA from 1 species
AUGGCCAAGGUCGCGCCAUUUCUCCUCCACCAUGCGACGCCACUGCCCAAUCUCAAGCUCCAUAGUCCUCCGAGAAGCACUUCACUUCAUGCCAGGCAUUCCACUCCCGGCCUCGCACGGUGCGCCGUGACGGCUCCGACGAGCACCACCACCACCACCGUGUUGCAGGACGAGGAGCCCUUCAGCCUCGAGCGGUACAUGGCGUCCAAGGCGGCGACCGUGAACGAGGCGCUCGACCGCGCGCUGCCGCCCGGGCACCCCGAGCGCCUCCUCGAGUCCAUGCGCUACUCGCUCCUCGCCGGCGGCAAGCGGGUGCGCCCCAUGCUCGCGCUCGCCGCGUGCGCGCUGGUGGGCGGCGACGAGGCCGCCGCCGAGCCCGUCGCCUGCGCCGUCGAGAUGGUCCACGCCAUGUCGCUCGUCCACGAUGACCUCCCCUGCAUGGACGACGACGACCUCCGGCGCGGCCGCCCCACCAACCACGUCGCCUUCGGCGUCAGCACCGCGCUGCUCGCGGGGGACGCGCUCCUGGCGCUCGCGUUCGAGCACCUCGCCCGGGGCUGCGCGGAGCGCGGCGUGCCGGCCGACCGCGCGCUCCGCGCCGUGGCGGAGCUCGCGGGCGCCGUGGGCGCGGGUGGGCUCGCGGCGGGGCAGGUCGUGGACCUUGCCAGCGAGGGCGCCGACGUCGGCCUUGCCACGCUGGAGUACAUCCACGUGCACAAGACGGCGCGGCUCCUGGAGGCCGCGGCGGUGUGCGGCGCCAUCGUCGCCGGAGGAGCCGAUGAGGAGGUCGAGGGCAUCCGGCGGUACGCGCGUUACGUCGGCCUGCUGUUCCAGGUGGUGGACGACGUGCUGGACGUGACCCUCACGUCCGAGCAGCUGGGGAAGACGGCAGGGAAGGACUUGGCCACCGACAAGGCCACGUACCCGAAGCUGAUGGGCGUGGACGGGGCGCGCGCGUACGCCGCCGAGCUUGUGGCGAGCGCCGAGGCAGAGCUAGACCGCUUCGACGCUGCUCGUACACAGCCUCUGCGUCACCUCGCGCGCUUCAUUGCGUACCGGCAGCACUGA